UACGGAGGGUGCUAGCGUUGUUCGGAAUCACUGGGCGUAAAGGGCGUGUAGGCGGUCUGUUAAGUCUGAUGUGAAAUCCCCUCGCUCAACGAGGGAACUGCGUCGGAUACUGGCAGACUUGAGUACCGGAGAGGAAGGUGGAAUUCCCGGUGUAGCGGUGAAAUGCGUAGAUAUUCGGAAGAACACCAGUGGCGAAGGCGGCUAACUGGCCCAUUACUGACGCUGAGGCUCGAAAGCGUGGGGAGCAAACAGG
rnacentral:rRNA from 1 species